GCGUGCAGGCGGCCACCGCAAGUUGAAUGUGAAAUCCCCGGGCUUAACCCGGGAAGUGCGUUCAAGACUGCGGGGCUUGAAUACGGGAGAGGAUCGUGGAAUUCCUGGUGUAGAGGUGAAAUUCGUAGAUAUCAGGAGGAACACUCGUGGCGAAGGCGACGGUCUGGACCGAUAUUGACGCUGAGACGCGAAAGCGUGGGUAGCAAACA
rnacentral:rRNA from 1 species